AAGGAAAAAACUUCAGUCACUCCCCUCUUGGUUGUUGCUGGAAUUCCGUAGGGAAGCGUACUGGGAUCGCUCUUAUAUGCCCUCUUCACAACACACGUUCCUGUGCCUGGAUAAACCACAGCCGGCCUUCUUAGGCCGCACAUCCUGUUAAACGGGCAGUGCAUAACGUUGACAUCCCAGCCCGCCUAAAAAACUGCAUCACCUUGCUGCAGAAUUAAGGACUAGAUUCUCGCGUAUACUAUCGUUUAAACUUUGCUCAUUUUUAAAGGAGUUUCCUCUUUAUUCAGCCUAUCUGUCAAUGGAAAAAAGACCGGAAGACACCAACCAACUGAACUCUUGCUAAGUAAACCAAAGAUAAGGGCACACAAAUCAACUGUUCAAGCGAAUGUCAAAUUCAUAUUAAAUGUUAUGUCAACAUUUUUCCUGGUGGAAUUCACAUCAUUCGAGAUGAUGUUUUCAUUGUAGUUUUAAAUUAAUUAAAAUCUUGCAUUUUGGCAACGAGGCUGGCCGAGAAGGGAUGUUGGCUUCUUGGCUAUCUAACAGCCUGACAUUUUGGCCCUUUGUUCAAGUCAUGCUCCAUUCUGGGUAGCACUUAGCAUUAUUGCAUUGCAGCGAAUCGAAGUGAAUAGAAUUGAAUUAUUUGGCGAGUGAGUGUAAUUAAAUUCGUCGCACUCCUCGCCCCAGGCGGCAGGGCUUGCUCGGGCUCAUCGUUGAGGUCGUCAAAUGGAUUGAUUUAUGAUGAUGCCUUUGCCUUUGGCAUUGCCUUCGCCUUUUCAUCAGCCUCUCGCUGCCUGACGAGGCAUGACAUAAUAAAUUGCUGUCCUGCGUCCUUUGGCGAUGACAACGAAGCUCACACAUGACUUUUAGGAGUUGCAGCAGAUUUGAAAAUUAAUUUGGAAAACUUUUUGUUGUGCUUUACUCUGCGUCUUUUUAUGCUUGGCUGCUGCUGCUCCCAGUUUUGCCUCUUCUGCUGCUUUUUUCAUACUCUGUUCAAAAAGUGAAAACGCGCUUAUUGGUUUUGUGCAAUGUUCGUCUGCCUGUCAAGAACUUACACCUUCAAGAUGCACAAAAAUUGGCGAGUUGCAACAAUCUUUGACUUUCACAGUAUUAGAGAGAAUCAUGGUGCCCAAAGUUCAAGCCGCAAACAGAGUAUGCUGCAGUCGUGUGCACCCGACUGCAAUGCUCUUGCUUGUUUUUUUUGCUCUGUUGACGGCAAAGUUUAAUUUUUAUUGUUGUUUGACUUUGUUAAAUGAUUUUUAUUGCCUUUUCUUUUGGACGCGAAGGAGAAGCCUUUGUAAGAAUUUAAUAAAACUGCUGGCGACCAUAUUGCCAGGCAAACAAAUGCACAAUGCUCGAGAGCCGAGCACAAGCCGUA